rnacentral:rRNA from 1 species
UACAGAGGGGGCAAGCGUUGUUCGGAAUUACUGGGCGUAAAGGGCGCGUAGGCGGCCCGCUAAGUCGAACGUGAAAUCCCCGGGCUCAACCCGGGAACUGCGUCCGAUACUGGUGGGCUCGAAUCCGGGAGAGGGAUGCGGAAUUCCAGGUGUAGCGGUGAAAUGCGUAGAUAUCUGGAGGAACACCGGUGGCGAAGGCGGCAUCCUGGACCGGCAUUGACGCUGAACGGCGAAAGCUAGGGGAGCAAACGGG